CUGGGACGUAAAGCGCAUGCAGGUGGUUUAGUUAAGUCAGAUGUAGAAACGGCCCGGGGCUACCAACCGUACGGAAUUGCUAUUUAGAAACUGGACAAACUAGAGUACUGUAGAGGGGGUAGAAUUUCAGGGUGUAGCGGUGAAAUGCGUAGAGAUCUGAAGGAAUACCGGUGGCGAAGGCGGCCCCCUGGACAGAUACUGACACUCAGAUGCGAAAGCGUGGGGAGCAAACAGGAUUAGAUACCCUGGUAG
rnacentral:rRNA from 1 species